rnacentral:ribozyme from 1 species
UUUUUUUUUUUUUUUUUUUUUUUUUUUUUCACUUGAUUUUC